rnacentral:rRNA from 1 species
UGAGGAAUAUUGGUCAAUGGACGGAAGUCUGAACCAGCCAAGUAGCGUGCAGGAUGACGGCUCUAUGGGUUGUAAACUGCUUUUGUAUGGGGAUAAAGUUAGGGACGUGUCCCUAUUUGCAGGUACCAUACGAAUAAGGACCGGCUAAUUCCGUGCCAGCAGCCGCGGUAAUACGGAAUGUCCAGGCGUUAUCCGGAUUUAUUGGGUUUAAAGUGAGCGUAGGCUGGAGCUUAAGUGUGUUGUGAAAUGUAGACGCUCAACGUCUGAAUAGCAGCGCAUACUGGUUUACUUGAGUACGCACAACGUUGGCGGAAUUCGUCGGGUAGCGGUGAAAUGCUUAGAUAUGACGAAGAACACCGAUUGCGAAGGCAGAUGACGGGAGCGCAACUGACGCUUAAGCUCGAAGGUGCGGGUAUCAAACAGG